rnacentral:misc_RNA from 1 species
CAACAAUCCCAAAAAUCAAUCUUCUAGAAGUGUCUUUCUUCUCUUCUUUUCUAUUCUGCUCCUCCUAAUUUCUCUAUGACAAUGGCGAGUUUUGGGUCAGGAGUUGUUUGUGCAAUCCUGAUUAGUAUGGUGGUGCCAAGUUUGGCAACAGUUUACACUGUAGGAGACUCCACUGGCUGGACAAUGGGCACUGAUUAUAGCACCUGGACUAGUGGCAAGACCUUCACAGUUGG